UACGUAGGGAGCGAGCGUUGUCCGGAUUCAUUGGGCGUAAAGAGCUCGUAGGCGGCUUGGUAAGUCGGAUGUGAAACCUCCAGGCUCAACCUGGAGUCGCCAUCCGAUACUGUCAUGGCUAGAGUCCGGUAGGGGCCCACGGAAUUCCUGGUGUAGCGGUGAAAUGCGCAGAUAUCAGGAGGAACACCGGUGGCGAAGGCGGUGGGCUGGGCCGGCACUGACGCUGGAGGAGCGAAAGCGUGGGGAGCGAACAGGAUUAGAAACCCU
rnacentral:rRNA from 1 species